UAUUCUCCUGUCUCAUAAGGCACUGGGGCCUGGCCCAUCUCUCUACCUCUCUUCCCCAUUGAGCGGGCAAAGGAGGAGAAAAUCUCUAUAGGCCUGUGCACCUGGGGCUGGUGGCCUGCAGAAGGGUGUCUGCUGCGGGUGUCUCCGCCACCCAGCCAUGGCCCGCAUCAUUGACCUGGUGCCCUGGGAGGAUGGCUCCACCCACGUGUACACGUCCCCGGCCAUCCUACUGCCCAUGCCCCGGAGGCGCAACCAGCUGGCCGGCGUGAAGCAGCAGCUCUACCACCCAGCCCUGCCCAGUCUGCGCCGCAUGGACAUGGACUCUGUCAAGGCCUGCCUUUCCGACGAGCACUGCCAGUCCACCACCUACUGCCGCAAAGAUGACUUUGAUAAUGCCUACUUCACAGUUCUCGGUGUUCCCAACAAACCCCUGCAGUGCUUGGACAUCACGGAGACCGGCCAGAGGCUCCGAAACAGGUACCACGAGGGAAAGCUGGCUCCCAUCGUGCCGGAGACCAGCUGUCUUUUCGCAGUUGAGAGCUUCAGCGGCUAUGCGGUGCGGUACUUGAAGCCGGAGGUGACCCAGAACUGGCGGUUCUGUCUUAACCAGAAUCCCAGCCUGGACCGCUAUGGACAGAAGCCCCUGCCUUUCGACUCCUUGAAUGCUUUCCGACGUUUCGGCUCCAACUACAGUCGUGUCAACUAUCUGACCCCCUGGCGUUGAUCUGUGAAAAGGAGGCUGACACCCAGGCUGCCUAACUGUGCCACUCACGUUCCCCAGCAGGACAAGGGCCCUGUGAGGACGACUGGGCAUUCCUGCCAGAAUCUUUGUAGAUCUACGAAAAUCAACAGCAGCCAAGGCUUUUCCUAGAGGCAUAACCAUCAAGGAACAAAGAAUGCAGCGGCUUGAGGAUGGGAUGCGGAGCUUAUCACAGGCAAGUCUGGCCCAGGCAGGGAGGCCCUGGGCAACUCUCCAAGGUCUGAGCAGUUUGUGGUCCUCGUCUGGGGCCUGCUCUGGAGAAGGGAUGAAGUUGGAGGCUGGAAGGUCAGGUGAAGGCUCUCUAUGGAGCUGCCUCUGCACAGAUGGGAAGAUGCAGAACGGUGGCUCCAAUCCCUCAAGGAGUUGAGAGCACGCCACGCCCCCCACCCCCACUGCUGGUGAAGAGCUCUCCUGCUCCCCUGGCCAGCCUGGGUGCCAGCACCAGUCCCGGCCAUUGCUCCCAGCUUCUUGGCCAGCAAAGAGUAGGUUGGAACCAGCAAGCCGGGCUCCAGUGGCUGGAGGUGGAGGCCUGUGAGGUUCAGAGCCUAGGACAGUCCCGCCCCACUGCCUCUCCCUGACCUGGCCCACCUGGCCCGCCCCCACAAUUCCAGGCCUCUCUCAUCACAAACUGUCUGGCUUUGGGAAGCCUCUGGACUUCUCAAGGGUCAGCACAAAGCAGAUCUUCAGGUCUGCCCGGCCCGUCUCAUGGAGAUGGUAUGAGGCUCCAACCAACAGGUAGAUAGGAAAGUGAUGGGGGGGCGGGGGCGGUAAAGACAACCCUGACACUCGGAUAGGAGAGCGGGGCUGGCUCCCUUCUGCCUUGGACGUCCCAGUCCUCUGCUUUCCUGAGUGACUGAAACAUGUUCAACACUCCACGUGGGUCAUUUCACAGGACCCUCAUCCUAAGCCCAGAAGAAAACAUUACUGGCUCCAUUUCACAGAUGAGGAAAAUAAGGCCCAAAAAGAUUCAAAAACCUUCCCAGAGCUUUGGUGCUUAUGCGCGGCAGAGGCAGGACUCCAGCCAGGCCUGACUGUGGUGCUCUUAACCACGAGAGCACAGCAGGGCCGCCACGGUUCAUGGGCACAGGCUCCACUCCGGGACAGCGGGCUCCUCUCCCACUGCCCCGCUGUGGGGCUGAGCCCAGAGCCGGCCACACAAAGUCAGCAAGAUGGUGGGCUCCCUGGGAGAGUUGUCUCUGGUGAUCCAGCCUACCAUGGCAAUGACUUUGAGGACCCAAGAGAAUAUACACCCACCCAAGCCAUGCAGGAGGUAUUAUUAACUCCAAAAUGUGAAACUUAUGUUAGUGUUUCUCUCUUUUUUUUUUUUUUGGCUGAGCUAUAAAGCAUGCAGGAUCCUCGACCAGAGAUCAAACGUACGACCCCUGCAGCCAGUGGAAGCGCAACAAACUACUGGACUGCCAGGAAGUCCCUAUGUUAGCCUCUCCCUCUUAGUCCUCUGGCUCUCAUCCAGAUGUCACCCCUCACCUCAAGGGACCACCCUCUCCCUAUGCUGUCAGUGGUUGGGGCAGAGAAAAUGAUAAGCCAGAGACUAGAUAAGAUAGUGCCUGGGACUUCCCUGGUGGUCCAGUGGCUGAGACUCUGCACUCCCAGUGCAGGGGUUCCGG